GUUAGCUCAGCGGUAGAGCACUGCCUUCACACGGCAGGGGUCACAGGUUCAAUCCCUGUAC
rnacentral:tRNA from 1 species